UGGACCGACGCGGAUUACG
rnacentral:siRNA from 1 species